GAUGAACGCUGGCGGCGUGCCUAAUACAUGCAAGUCGAGCGAACAGAUGAGGAGCUUGCUCCUCUGACGUUAGCGGCGGACGGGUGAGUAACACGUGGAUAACCUACCUAAGACUGGGAUAACUUCGGGAAACCGGAGCUAAUACCGGAUAAUAUAUUGAACCGCAUGGUUCAAUAGUGAAAGACGGUUUUGCUGUCACUUAUAGAUGGAUCCGCGCCGCAUUAGCUAGUUGGUAAGGUAACGGCUUACCAAGGCGACGAUGCGUAGCCGACCUGAGAGGGUGAUCGGCCACACUGGAACUGAGACACGGUCCAGACUCCUACGGGAGGCAGCAGUAGGGAAUCUUCCGCAAUGGGCGAAAGCCUGACGGAGCAACGCCGCGUGAGUGAUGAAGGUCUUCGGAUCGUAAAACUCUGUUAUUAGGGAAGAACAAAUGUGUAAGUAACUAUGCACGUCUUGACGGUACCUAAUCAGAAAGCCACGGCUAACUACGUG
rnacentral:rRNA from 1 species